rnacentral:sRNA from 1 species
AUUUUUCAGGAAUACACACCCAAAUAGGACAGUCUGGCCAUGGUUGCUUACCCCGAUUAUCGGAGCAAAUGGGAGGUUAUACUUAUUUGUGCAGUAUGUUGUGUCGAAGACGAUACAAUCACCAAAUUUCUUGUAUGCUUCUUUUGAGGCACCAUCCACCCAAAAUAAGCUACCAACCGUAUUAUCCGAGUCCAGUUCCAUGCUAUAGAAAAACGAUGGAUCUUCUGCUUGCAAUUCCUGGAAGUACUUGAUGGUUUCAGCCAUGUCUCCGUUUGCAGUAGUCCGUUUUCUCAUCGAUGUCCUCAGAUUGCUAACAUCUUUCUUUGUGAAUGGUAUGUUACGCAUGGUACCAUACAAAUCAGACAGGACAGACAUGAUUCUUCUAGUGGGGAUGUUGUUGUUGUGCCGUAAUUCUAUUAGCUCAUAGUCUUCAUCCGACACGUUACGGUGUGAUUCUAGGAACCUUAGAGAAUUGGGGCUCAAAGGAGGAUGAUUGUGAUCUAAGUCUACUAUUGUCACCACCCACUUUUCAGCCCUUUUAACGACCACCAUUCUCGCCUUACAAUCAGUUUUCCGUAUGCUGUUGCACUUCCUGGAUCUGCUUCCAAUACUUGAUUUUGCAUUCUGCUCCUUACUUGUGCGUUCAGAAUAGCAAGCGAACUCAUAUCUGUUGUAAUCUUUGGUGACAUUGCUUCUUUUGCAACUCGAAACCUUUCUACCGAAACCUCAAUUUUUUGCAUACCU